rnacentral:rRNA from 1 species
GACGAACGCUGGCGGCGUGCCUAAUACAUGCAAGUAGAACGCUGAAGGAGGAGCUUGCUUCUCUGGAUGAGUUGCGAACGGGUGAGUAACGCGUAGGUAACCUGCCUGGUAGCGGGGGAUAACUAUUGGAAACGAUAGCUAAUACCGCAUAAGAGUAGAUGUUGCAUGACAUUUGCUUAAAAGGUGCAAUUGCAUCACUACCAGAUGGACCUGCGUUGUAUUAGCUAGUUGGUGGGGUAACGGCUCACCAAGGCGACGAUACAUAGCCGACCUGAGAGGGGGAUCGGCCAAACUGGGACUGAGACAAGGCCCAGAAUCCUAAGGGAGGCAGCAGUAGGGAAUCUUCGGCAAUGGACGGAAGUCUGACCGAGCAAAGCCGCGUGAGUGAAGAAGGUUUUCGGAUCGUAAAGAUCUGUUGUAAGAGAAGAACGAGUGUGAGAGUGGAAAGUUCACACUGUGACGGUAUCUUACCAGAAAGGGACGGCUAACUACGUG